rnacentral:snRNA from 1 species
GGAGCUACCUGGCAGGGGAGAGACCAUGAUCAGAAGGUGGUUCUCCCAGGGCGAGGCUUGUCCCUUGCACUCCAGAUGUGCUGACUCCUGCCAUUUCCCCGGGGGAAGCGCGACUGAUCAUUUGUGGCAGUGGGGGACUGCGUUCGCGCUCUCCCCUG